CCCACUUACCCAUAACUCCACUCCCUUGCUUACUUCCUCCUAGGCCCGCCUCCUAACCCCUGUCAAGGCCUUUUUCCGCUUAGCUGCACUUGGCUACAUGGGGCUACAUGACAGGUGUAUAGUCGCCAUUUGGGCAGUCGGAAUCCAGGACAACCACCCCAUAACCCAACCCAAUAACGCACAUACUAGAGGAUAUGGGGAAAUAUGUCCACAGCUUUAUUUAGCAAACAAUAAUAAUAACAAUAAUAAUAAUAAUAAUAACUUAACAAGUAAACAUGGGUCAUUGCCCCCCAUACUCCGCCCUCGCAUCCUAUUCCUUCCAUUAACAUAUAAAGGGCAAUGACCCCCAUAUAAAUAAACAUAUAUAUAUAACAUACAUCAACAUUAUUCCAAUCGAUGUAAAGUGCCAACCAUCCAUUAACCACGGCAGGGGUAUACCCGGAUACCCCUACCCCACCAGGUUCUGAGCCACCGACAGGACUCGAAACCUAUCAACCACCAAUGACCACCACUUGUUUGUCUUCCAUUACGUUCAUCCUGGGGAGCCUAUUUCCUCUCCUUCAGCUCCCCGUCCCGCCGCUGUGAAAAAACGGGACAAAACCACACAUAACAAAACAGGGAGGGUGGGAGGGACAAACUUAACCAGGUAGGAAGUUAAAAUGAAUUAACUAAAAUGGCUGCCCAUUUAAAUAACCAAACCCACUUACCCAUAACUCCACUCCCUUGCUUACUUCCUCCUAGGCCCGCCUCCUAACCCCUGUCAAGGCCUUUUUCCGCUUAGCUGCGCUUGGCUACAUGGGGCUACAUGACAGGUGUAUAGUCGCCAUUUUGGGCAGUCGGAAUCCAGGACAACCACCCCAUAACCCAACCCAAUAACGCACAUACUAGAGGAUAUGGGGAAAUAUGUCCACAGCUUUAUUUAGCAAACAAU